rnacentral:rRNA from 1 species
GACGAACGCUGGCGGCGUGCUUAACACAUGCAAGUCGAGCGGUAAGGCCCUUUCGGGGGUACACGAGCGGCGAACGGGUGAGUAACACGUGGGUGACCUGCCCUCCAGCUCUGGGAUAAGCCUGGGAAACCGGGUCUAAUACUGGAUAUGACUCCAUGACGCAUGUUGUGGGGUGGAAAGCCUUGUGCGGCUGAGGAUGGGCCCGCGGCCUAUCAGCUUGUUGGUGGGGUGAUGGCCUACCAAGGCGACGACGGGUAGCCGGCCUGAGAGGGCGACCGGCCACACUGGGACUGAGACACGGCCCAGACUCCUACGGGA